UGGGGAAUAUUGCGCAAUGGGCGAAAGCCUGACGCAGCGACGCCGCGUGGAGGAUGAAGGUCUUAGGAUUGUAAACUCCUGUCAGAUGGGAAGAAAGGUUUAUGUUUAAUAGACGUAAAAUAUGACGGUACCAUCAGAGGAAGCACCGGCUAACUUCGUGCCAGCAGCCGCGGUAAUACGAAGGGUGCAAACGUUAUUCGGAAUCACUGGGCGUAAAGGGUGCGUAGACGGUAUGUUAAGUUCGUUGUUAAAGGCUCCGGCCCAACCGGAGUAUUGCGAUGAAAACUGGCACACUAGAGGGUGAGAGAGAGAAGUGGAAUUCCCGGAGUAGCGGUAAAAUGCGUGGAUCUCGGGAGGAACACCAAUGGCGAAGGCAGCUUCUUGGCUCAUACCUGACGUUGAGGCACGAAAGCGUGGGGAGCAAACAG
rnacentral:rRNA from 1 species